UGAGGAAUAUUGGUCAAUGGGCGAGAGCCUGAACCAGCCAAGUAGCGUGCAGGAUGACGGUCCUAUGGGUUGUAAACUGCUUUUAUAUUGGAAUAAAGUGAGGGACGUGUCCCUUAUUGCAUGUACCAUACGAAUAAGGACCGGCUAAUUCCGUGCCAGCAGCCGCGGUAAUACGGAAGGUCCAGGCGUUAUCCGGAUUUAUUGGGUUUAAAGGGAGCGUAGGCUGUUUGUUAAGCGUGUUGUGAAAUGUAAGAGCUCAACUUUUAGAGUGAAACGCGAACUGGAAGUGAAGAGUGCGAACAACGUAUGCGGAAUUCAUGGUGUAGCGGUAAAAUACUUGGAUAUCAUGACGAACUCCGAUUGCGAAGGCAACUUACAGGAGCGCAACAGAAGCAAAAGCUCGAAGGUGCGGGUAUCGAACAGG
rnacentral:rRNA from 1 species